AUGUCUUUGAUCACAAGAGUUAUUGAUCCUACUGAGAAAGAAAAGGAAAGCAUCCAAAAGGUUGGUAAUGGACCUUCUGGAACUGUUAAGUCUUCAACAAAGGUGGAUAAGACUUCUGAAUCUAUGAGAAGGCCUCUGGGAACUGUACUGGAAACUGAAGCUGAAGGUUCUGAGAACACUGAGAAAGCUGAAGAAUCUCCUGCUCAAAAUGAACCUUAUGGUAAGUCUAUUAUUGUUGAGACAUCUUUGUCUUCUAAUUAA